UACGUAGGACGCAAACGUUGUCCGGAUUUACUGGGUGUAAAGGGUGCUCAGGCGGUCUUGUAAGUCAGUGGUGAAAUCCCGGAGCUCAACUCCGGAACUGCCUUUGAUACUACAAGGCUUGAGUAUGGAAGAGGUGGAUGGAAUUUCUGGUGUAGCAGUGAAAUGCGUAGAUAUCAGAAAGAACACCAGUGGCGAAGGCGGUCUACUGGUCCAUUACUGACGCUAAAGCACGAAAGCAUGGGGAGCAAACAGG
rnacentral:rRNA from 1 species